UCAGAAUUUUUUUUUUAAGUGGUGCAUUGCAAUUUCUCUGGCAGUAUUCACCAUUAGGUUAAAUAUAUUUUCCUGACAGUCUUAGGGUUUAAAAGCUUAGCUUAGGAAACUUGUAUGGCAUGAACUGAUGCAUGCUACUCUCUUCACCCAUGCUAGCUGUUACAGUGACUAUAAUGGAUUGGUUGUUCUUCUGGAUUUGUCCUUUUCUUUACCAGGAAAAGAGUCCAAAUCAAUGGAAGCGAUUGUUGAGCUUUAAGCUUUUUUAUAAUGUUUCCAUUGUAAUAUUUACAUAAUAUAAUGCAGCAAGGAAAUCAUUUGAUGCUACAUGGGCAAGUGAGUUCAGUUACCCGGACUAGCUUAUCUGGUUGCCUUUUGUAGAUAUUUAAUUGGUAAAACCACCUUUUUGCCCCUAUGCUUGUAGCAAAUGACUGUCUUACCCCUGCAUUUCAAAUUUGGUUGAUUGACGCCAAAAUUGACAAAAUGUUGGUCAAUUUGUCCCAAUCAAUAAAUGAAUUGCACUUCUUUUGAAAAUUACAGCAGCCUCAACACCAGGAUCUUUGCUGUCUGGCCAGUGUCAGGUUCAUUUGGUGGUGGAAAUGUUGGUGAGCCAGAAGUGAACAUCAUCAACACAUGUAGGAGGGAUUUUUUCAAAACACUUUAUUAAGUACUUCAAUUUUUUAAAUGUGCAAUUUACCUCUGUUCUAACAGCCUAUUUAACUGCAAUUAUUGAUUUCAGCCAAUUGACCAGUAUUUUAUCGAGUUUGGUGUCAAUCGACCAAAUUUUAAUGCAGGUGGCAAAUUCAUGUUAUAGUCUAGCUGAUUAUAAGAACGAAAUUAAUCAGUUCCUUAGUGACAUUGGCGAUGAUUUCAAGUUCAAUUAUCUUGCUAUAUGUUUUGUGAAAUCUCACUUAAAAGUUACAGCUUUGGAAUAUGCGGAAAUUCUCACACAAUCUCCAUACUUUUAAGUAAUGAAUGAGCAACAUUAAUCUGACUGACAAUCUCAAAAUAUUUCAAUUUGUUAUAGCUAUUAAUUGAUAGCUCUUUCUUAUUAUCAAACUUAAGGUAUAAGUAUGGCAGUAAAUUGUCAUUUGUUCAAUUAGUUUGGACAAUUAUCUUUGCAGUUUUUAUGUGAAUAAAUCAACCAAAA